rnacentral:rRNA from 1 species
UACGGAGGUGGCAAGCGUUGCUCGGAAUUACUGGGCGUAAAGGGCGCGUAGGCGGUCUGUUAAGUUCGGUGUGAAAGCCCCCGGCUCACCUGGGGAACUGCGCCGGAAACCGACAGACUCGAGUACCGGAGAGGAGGGUGGAAUUCCUGGUGUAGCGGUGAAAUGCGUAGAUAUCAGGAGGAACACCGGUGGCGAAGGCGGCCCUCUGGACGGAUACUGACGCUGAGGCACGAAGGCCAGGGGAGCAAACGGG